GAUGAACGCUGGCUACAGGCUUAACACAUGCAAGUCGUGGGGAAACGGCAUUAUGUGCUUGCACAUUCUGGACGUCGACCGGCGCACGGGUGAGUAUCGCGUAUCCAACCUGCCCCUUACUUGGGGAUACCCCGUCGAAAGACGGCCUAAUACCCGAUGUGUUUCAUUGACGGCAUCCGAUAUGAAACAAAGGUUUUCCGGUAAGGGAUGGGGAUGCGUCUGAUUAGCUUGUUGGCGGGGCAACGGCCCACCAAGGCGACGAUCAGUAGGGGUUCUGAGAGGAAGGUCCCCCACAUUGGGACUGAGACACGGUCCAAACUCCUACGGGAGGCAGCAGUGAGGAAUAUUGGUCAAUGGACGCAAGUCUGAACCAGCCAAGUAGCGUGCAGGAUGACGGCCCUAUGGGUUGUAAACUGCUUUUAUGUGGGAAUAAAGUGGCGCACGUGUGCGCCAUUGCAUGUACCUCA
rnacentral:rRNA from 1 species